rnacentral:rRNA from 1 species
CCUACGGGCGGCAGCAGUGAGGAAUAUUGGUCAAUGGACGAGAGUCUGAACCAGCCAAGUAGCGUGAAGGAUGACUGCCCUAUGGGUUGUAAACUUCUUUUAUAAAGGAAUAAAACGAGGCACGUGUGCCUUUUUGCAUGUACUUUAUGAAUAAGGAUCGGCUAACUCCGUGCCAGCAGCCGCGGUAAUACGGAGGAUCCGAGCGUUAUCCGGAUUUAUUGGGUUUAAAGGGGGCGUAGACGGGUUGUUAAGUCAGUUGUGAAAGUUUGCGGCUCAACCGUAAAAGUGCAAUUGAUACUGGCAGUCUUGAGUACAGUGGAGGUAGGCGGAAUGCGUGGUGUAGCGGUGAAAUGCUUAGAUAUCACGAAGAACCCCGAUUGCGAAGGCAGCGUACUAAGCUGUGACUGACAUUGAUGCUCGAAAGUGUGGGUAUCGAACAGGAUUAGAUACCCCAGUAGUC